GUAAAAAUGGCAAAGAAAGCCUUUGUUUUCAUUCUGUGUGCCCCUGAGGCCAUCCUAGCACUGGGGGAUGAGAGUGGAGCACCCAUCUCUCCUUUGUGCUUAAGGCUCUCUGUGGAGCAUUGGCUGACUUGGGGCACACGCAGCACUUGAGGUGCAGCCCCACCAGAGCAACAUCCCCCUAAACCUCCUGGGGAGCAUCACAUCCAAGCAGACACGUUUGGAUACCUCGGAAACAGCGUAGAUGACUUUCUCUAUCCUCUCCAACCACAAACUCUUAUGAGAUACAGUUGUUCAACCCUUGCCUUGUGCAUUAAAUGCUCCACUGCACUGGGCAGCCCAUUCCAUGCCCACUAGAACCUUUCCCUCAUCCCCACCUGACCCUCCCAAUGCAAUUCCACAUGGGAUGAAGGCUGCAGGGGUCAGUGAUACAGCAGCACUGAGCUAAGCUCAGUCACCAAAGUGUGCUUCACUUUGACAUCAACCCGGCAGCCCCCUAUUUCCCAGACUUGCUUGUUUCAGGACACCUUGAUAAUUAGCACAAUUUUUAUCAUGUUUUCUGUAGCACUCAGGCACUUCUGGCUGUUGACCUUCCCCAUGGACUUCCAGCAGAGUCCUUUUCUUCUCUGCCUCUUGGUGGGAGCCAAUGGAGUCCUGGAGACAUCACAACUGCCAGAGGAGUGGAGAGAAAUGCACCUAGAGGCUUGAUGAAGCCACUUGGGACAACAGUGGUUUUCUCAGACAGGUCCCAUCGUUUGCUCUCUGCUGUAGCCGUAACUUCUCCCAGACUCAGCAAAGUUUCUUCACUUUUCAGAGCACAGUCUUUCCUCGGCAGCUCCAGCUCCACGCCUGAAGGAACUGCAGGCAGUGAUUCAUCAGCGAGACAACACAUCCCAAACAACCAGAAGGUCAACUACUUCUUAAGGCAAAAAUAUUUUGCAGUGAUUUAUAGCUGUAUGUGGGAAAAUAGAGGUCUUAUAUGGCCAAAGCAGGCAAACAAUAGAUGGGGAAGAAUUUCUUCUCAUCAACACUCGUCCUCCUUCUCACAGAAACAUCACACACUUUGCAUACCGUAACAAAAUGUAAGUUUUAUUCUGUUUUAUUAGUAAUGGAUGUGGGACAGCCGGUUGAAGAGUCGGGCUGAUGUUUCGUUCUCUUUUGACCUAACUACAGUCCAGAUGUAACAUUUACACUGAGAAA